GAAAUGCGAUAAUUAAUGUGAAUUGCAGAAUUCAGUGAAUCAUCGAGUCUUUGAACGCACAUUGCGCCCCCUGGUAUUCCGGGGGGCAUGCCUGUCCGAGCGUCAUUGCUGCCCUCAAGCACGGCUUGUGUGUUGGGCUUCCGUCCCUGGCAACGGGGACGGGCCCAAAAGGCAGUGGCGGCACCAUGUCUGGUCCUCGAGCGUAUGGGGCUUUGUCACCCGCUCCCGUAGGUCCAGCUGGCAGCUAGCCUCGCAACCAAUCUUUUUAACCAGGUUGGCCUCGGAUCAGGUAGGGAUACCCGCUGAACUUAAGC
rnacentral:misc_RNA from 1 species